rnacentral:rRNA from 1 species
UACAGAGGUCCCAAGCGUUGUUCGGAAUUACUGGGCGUAAAGCGUGCGCAGGCGGUUCGUUAUGUCCGUUGUGAAAGCCCCGGGCUCAACCUGGGAAUGGCAAUGGAAACUGGCGGGCUAGAGUGUGGCAGAGGGGGGCGGAAUUCCGCGUGUAGCAGUGAAAUGCGUAGAGAUGCGGAGGAACACCGAUGGCGAAGGCAGCCCCCUGGGCUAGCACUGACGCUCAGGCACGAAAGCGUGGGGAGCAAACAGG